UUCUAUGGCCAUACCACUCUGAACACGCCAGAUCUCAUCUGAUCUCAGAAGCUAAGCAGGGUCAGGUCUGGUUAGUACUUGGAUGGGAAAAAUUAAAAAGGUAAAAUAACAAAGGAC
rnacentral:rRNA from 1 species